rnacentral:lncRNA from 1 species
UUAUGCUUCGUGAAGUCGUUCCGACUUCCAUUUCUGAGGACAGAUACGAAUUUCUGACUACUCAUCGUAGAAUGACCAGAUUAGAUACAGAUAAUGACAAUUUGAUCAGGCACAUUCCCGACGUGUCAAACUAUGGUACGAUCUAUGACCACGGUCGUACCGACCAUAAUAGUCCUAUUGAUAUUCUACAGUCACGAUAGUACUUAACUAAAGGUGACCCCUAACAGAUAUUUGUGUUAGUGCUCUCGUUAGAGGGUAUGCCGUCAUCCAUAGGG